GGCUGACUAGUGGCGGACGGGUGAGUAAUACAUCGGAACGUGCCCGAUCGUGGGGGAUAACUACUCGAAAGAGGGGCUAAUACCGCAUACGAUCUACGGAUGAAAGCGGGGGAUCGCAAGACCUCGCGCGGACGGAGCGGCCGAUGGGAGAUUAGGUAGUUGGUGGGAUAAAAGCUUACCAAGCCGACGAUCUGUAGCUGGUCUGAGAGGACGACCAGCCACACUGGGACUGAGACACGGCCCAGACUCCUACGGGAGGCAGCAGUGGGGAAUUUUGGACAAUGGGGGAAACCCUGAUCCAGCCAUGCCGCGUGCAGGAUGAAGGCCUUCGGGUUGUAAACUGCUUUUGUACGGAACGAAAAGACUCUUUCUAAUACAGAGGGUCCAUGACGGUACCGUAAGAAUAAGCACCGGCUAACUACGUGCC
rnacentral:rRNA from 1 species